rnacentral:tRNA from 1 species
GCCUGGGUAGCUCAGUCGGUAAAGCAUCCGACUUUGGCUCAGGUCAUGAUCUCGCGGUCCGUGGGUUCGAGCCCCGCAUUGGGCU